rnacentral:rRNA from 1 species
GAUGAACGCUGGCGGCGUGCCUAAUACAUGCAAGUAGAACGCUGAAGCUUGGUGCUUGCACCGAGCGGAUGAGUUGCGAACGGGUGAGUAACGCGUAGGUAACCUGCCUCUUAGCGGGGGAUAACUAUUGGAAACGAUAGCUAAUACCGCAUAAAAGUCGAUAUCGCAUGAUAUUGAUUUGAAAGGUGCAAUUGCAUCACUAAGAGAUGGACCUGCGUUGUAUUAGCUAGUUGGUGAGGUAACGGCUCACCAAGGCGACGAUACAUAGCCGACCUGAGAGGGUGAUCGGCCACACUGGGACUGAGACACGGCCCAGACUCCUACGGGAGGCAGCAGUAGGGAAUCUUCGGCAAUGGGGGCAACCCUGACCGAGCAACGCCGCGUGAGUGAAGAAGGUUUUCGGAUCGUAAAGCUCUGUUGUAAGAGAAGAACGAGUGUGAGAGUGGAAAGUUCACACUGUGACGGAACUACCAGAAAG